GGAAGGAAGGUGCAAUUAAAGAAAACACAAAACUUCAGAAAUAACUCCAAACCUUCCUUUCAACAGAUGCUUACAAUCUUAUUGUCAGAGGGUUGGACUAGAAGACCUCCAAGGUCCCUUGCAGCCUUACGAUUCUAUGAAUCUACUUCAGGACAGGAAGGAGAAACCCAACCCAGAAGUCUGUAGGAAUGCUUUCCGAAAAGCCAUUGGUUGAGAAAAUACGACCACAGCACAAAGGGAAAAAACGAGUGACGCGGAAAUAAAAGGUAAACUAUGUUUUCUACAGCCAAACUAGGCUGCAUCAACAGAGGGAUAGAAUCAAGAUCCCAUGAAGUGUUAAUACCG